rnacentral:rRNA from 1 species
GAUGAACGCUGGCGGCGUGCCUAACACAUGCAAGUCGAGCGAUUCUCUUCGGAGAAGAGCGGCGGACGGGUGAGUAACGCGUGGGUAACCUGCCCUGUACACACGGAUAACAUACCGAAAGGUAUGCUAAUACGAGAUAAUAUGCUUUUAUCGCAUGGUAGAAGUAUCAAAGCUUUUGCGGUACAGGAUGGACCCGCGUCUGAUUAGCUAGUUGGUAAAGUAACGGCUUACCAAGGCGACGAUCAGUAGCCGACCUGAGAGGGUGAUCGGCCACAUUGGAACUGAGACACGGUCCAAACUCCUACGGGAGGCAGCAGUGGGAAUAUUGCACAAUGGGCGAAAGCCUGAUGCAGCAACGCCGCGUGAGCGAUGAAGGCCUGGUCGUAAAGCUCUGUCCUCAAGGAAGAUAAUGACGGUACUUGAGGAGGAAGCCCGGCUAACU